rnacentral:rRNA from 1 species
GAAUUGACGGGUCCCCGCGCAAGCAGNGCAACGUGUGGUUUAAUUCGAUGCUACNCNAAGAACCUUACCUGGGUUUGACAUAGAGGUAGUAGGGAAGCGANNGCGGANNGACCCUUCGGGGAGCCUCUACANGUGUUGCAUGGCUGUCNUCAGCUCAGUGUCGUGAGAUGUUCGGUUAAGUCCGCUAACGAGCGCAACCCUCGCUGUGUGUUACAAGUGUCACACGGUACUGCCGAUAUUAAGUCA